rnacentral:lncRNA from 1 species
CACACAAGGAAGUGUAAAGAGAGCGACACUCGUGGCUGUAAAUGUUGGAAUAGGCUAUGUCCCAGCCCAGCCUCAAAAUUUCUUGGAAGAGGUCCUUGCAAAUGAGCAUCCUCCAUCCGACGGUAUUUUUCAGCGCAGUUUCUACUGAGAAAGAGUACUGCUCUCAUCUGCUCUGCUACUGAGCCAUCGCUCGAGGGACUGGACCAGCAGAAAGGGCUUUCCGUGGCCCUGUGACAACUUAUGAAAUGAGAAGAAUGAAGACUCAAACCGCUGUUUCUCUGAUGUGGCUUCUGAUUUUAAUGCUGCAGUUUGCUUCGCUUACCAAAGGCCUGAAUCACUUUAUAGUUCCUCAGAAUUUGACCUCGGAGACCGGAAAAACUGUCACCUUUGAAUGUGGUGUCAGUGGAUUGAGUGGGCAACAAAUCAGGUUUUACAUUAUGGGUUCAAAGGUCAAUGAUUCUAUGGCUUGUCCAGGAGACAAAACCAAAUACUUACCCGCUCAGUCAAUGAAAGCGUACUGUUAUAAAAAAGCUAGUGGAGACGUAGCUGCUUGGGAAGUCGCAGGAACAUCAGAAGACGACAAUGGCACUAUUUUUUUGUGCAAGGUCAAUGGUAUAGAUGACAAAAUCGGACACCUU